rnacentral:rRNA from 1 species
AUUGAACGCUGGCGGCAGGCCUAACACAUGCAAGUCGAACGAGUGGCGGACGGGUGAGUAAUGUCUGGGAAACUGCCUGAUGGAGGGGGCUAACUACUGGAAACGGUAGCUAAUACCGCAUACCAUCGGAUGUGCACAGAUGGGAUUAGCUAGUAGGUGGGGUAAAGGCUCACCUAGGCGACGAUCCCUAGCUGGUCUUAUAGGAUGACCAGCCACACUGGGACGGAGACACGGGCCAGACUCCUACGGGAGGCAGCAGUGGGGAAUAUUGCACAAUGGGCGCAAGCCUGAUGCAGCCAUGCCGCGUGUAUGAAGAAGGCCGUCGGGUUGUAAAGUACUUUCAGCGGGGAGGCGUUACCCGCAGAAGAAGCACCGGCUAACUCCGUGCCAGCAGCCGCGGUAAUAC